ACAAAUUCACAUGCCAGUCGAGGCUGAUUCACCUGUUCAGUGCUGUGAGUGAUUUGAAGAGGACCACCUUCUCAGCACUUCUUUGGCCCAGAGUCACAGGAACACUCUUCUCAAGAAUGUGGUUCUGGGACCUCUGAGAGGGUCUGGAAUUAGGGUUCAGAUACCAUCCAUCUGUUAUGUGCUUUGAAGAUGCCACUCCAUCUGUGGGAUUCAAUUUACAUAAACUGAAGACUAUUCUUCUGAGUUGAAGUAAGGAGAGGCAUCUAUCCUCUCCUCCUGCAAAAUUAUUUGAUCUCCUGGAAGCAAAAAGCCCACUAUGAAGUUGUUCUUGCCAUGGACUUCUGGAGGAGCUGACUGUCCUUUGGGAAGCUACAAAUACAGCCUUAAAAUCUGUUAGCGGGGAAGAGAGAGAGGCUUUUUCUGAGUGAUCAGUUAUUGACGGCCUUCUGUGCAUUGGGCCCUGUGCUAGAAGCUGAAGAGUAUUCAAAAAUGCAAGCCAUCAAAGAGAAGAUAAUAUAGUUGUGAGAUGAUAUGAGGAGAGAUCAAAGGAGAAGUCAGUGUCCAAGAUAGCAACCAAUCGGAGCCCUCACAAGGCUGCGCCCCAUUCAUGAACAAAAGGAGCAUCCAGGCAGUGAGUACUGUGCGUGAUGUACGAAGAGUGGUGUGCAUGGUGGACAGAGAGUGCUGUGAGUUCAGAGUACGGUGAGGUCACUGAGGACUGGGAUGGGCUGGAAAGGUUUCAAGGAACAGGAGAAAUGCGAGCCAGACCUGGAACCUAGUUAGCAUUUGGAGAGCAGAAUCACUGGACGUGUGUGAAGUGACUGAAGGAAGAAGAGGGGAAAGGAAUGAUUGUGUUAAGUGGCAAAAACCCAGCCAUAGAGCAAGGUGAGCUUAGGGGAAGUCUGGUUUGACUGUAUAGGAGGAGUCCUGGGAGAUAGGGCUGAGAGGGAGAUUGGUGUCAGAUUAUGGAAAGCUUUGGAGGUCAGGCUAAGGACUUCAAUUUCCAUG